rnacentral:rRNA from 1 species
UACGAAGGGGGCUAGCGUUGUUCGGAAUCACUGGGCGUAAAGGGCGCGUAGGCGGGCCGCCAAGUUCGAGGUGAAAUCCUCCGGCUCAACCGGAGAACUGCCUCGAAUACUGGAGGCCUCGAGGCGGGUAGGGGCACGCGGAACUGUGGGUGGAGCGGUGAAAUGCGUUGAUAUCCACAGGAACUCCGGUGGCGAAGGCGGCGUGCUGGACCCGAUCUGACGCUGAGGCGCGAAAGCCAGGGGAGCAAACGGG